ACUUAAAAUCAAAAAAAGAAAAAAAAAGCAUGCUCGGCUUCGCUUCACGCCCAAACUUCUUCUGCUUCCGUCAAACGCUCAACAUAACGGGAGCUAAUUUGCGAUAAAACCAUUUCGCAAAUUGUCCAAGUUAGGGUUAGUGAUUUCGCAAGACCUUCUUUAAAUUUUCUCUUCUCUGCGUUGUUUUUCGAUUGAUUGCUUCCAUUUAAGGUUUUAGGUGGAACAAAUUUUUCAGAGAUUACGAAUUUGAGGUAAAGGAGUGUGAGUUGUAUACGCAUAUUGAGUGAACUUUAUAAGGAAAGCAUUUUGUGUGGCAGGUGUGUCUUCUCAUCUUUGUUUGCACGAAUCCAAGGCCAAGGAGAAUGGUAUGUCUUAUUAUGUCUCCUUUUCUGCAUCGUUAGAUCUCGCCCUCCUUUCAUCUUUUCAAUUUCUUCUUACUCUUCUUGUUUGCUUACUUAUUUUUUUUUUUUCUUUUUCACAUUUUUAAUUACUUUUUUGGGUGGAUAUUUUAUUCUCCCACUAGUUAUUUUCCUCUCUUCUUUCUAUUUCUAGUCCAUUAGUUUAAUUUAUUGGUCUGGCAAAUGGAUUUUUUCCCUCUUUUAUAUUAAGCAGGGGACCAAGCUAUGGCUCUUGGGGCAAAGUUCUCCCGGCUUUUGAAGAUAAUAGGGCUUCAAAAAUUGGGGUUAGGUUUGAUAAAUCAAUUCCAGAUGGCAAUGAUCUUGGUGGCCUUUGCGAAGAUGAUCGUGGGUUCUUUUGUUCUGCAAAUCAUUUACUACGAGUAGAUGGCUCUGGAGUGGAUGACCUUGGCAAAGUUGCAAUUAAUGAAAUGUUUAAGGAUAACUUGAGUAGACUGCAUGAUAGGAGCAAAGAAACCCACAGUCAUGAAGCAACUUAAUCGCCUUUUUCCAAACAAAGUGACUGUACAGUUGCCUCAGGACGAGGCUUUACUUUAUGACUGGAAGCAACGGUUAAAUCAUGACAUUGAAACUAUGAAAGCUCAGUCCAAUGUUGUCAACAUUCAAAGGUUUUAGGUGGAACAAAUUUUUUCAGAGAUUACAAAUUUGAGUGAUGGUUGAUUGUGACAUUGAUGGAAGACAAGCACAAUAGAGCCGGACAGAGGUUGACACAACGACGAAACAUGAUGACAGAAGGCAAUGCAACAACAAAGUGCUAAGCAUGGAAGACAAAAGACAUCACAACUUAGAGAGGAGGGAGACUCAACCGCAGGGCGCAAACCAACAAAGAAGCGCAACACAACAAUGGAACAGUAAAACAUGACAUAGCGACGAAGUACAACAUGAUACAAUGGCAAAGCACAACAAAAUGCGACCCAGUGGCAGAGUAGGACUUAACGUAGUGGUAGGGCACAAGGGAAUGCAACGCAACAACAAUUAAAGCAUGACUUAAUAAGGCAAUUGUAGCGCAUGAUGCAAUGCUAUGUAGCAACAGAGUAUAGCAUGUAACACAGUUGAUUUUAUGAUGUUUUAAUUCAAUUAUAUGAUUAUUGCUGUCUAGUUGUUAGUUAUUGUAGUAUUAUUGUUAAAAACUUUGGAGUUAAGGGA